AAUUUUUUAGUAUAAGUGUAUAUUUGGCUUCCAACCAAAAGGUCUAGACUCUAGAAAAAUUA
rnacentral:tRNA from 1 species